rfam:Gossypium hirsutum cultivar TM-1 unplaced genomic scaffold scaffold3143.1, whole genome shotgun sequence
AACUAAAAAUUUCAUCCAUUUUUAUGAUUAAAACCUAGCAUGGCUGAUAGAACAUGUUACACGUGGCGUGCCACAUGUACCUCAUUUUGGUAUACAAGGGCCAAUUUAAUAGUAGAAAUUGAUGAAAUUUCUAACA